GUCAGCAACAGCUCAGCGGUUACUUCUCGAAAUACCACGGAAUUGUAAUUCUGAAAACCUUUCGGGGUUCGAAACCCGCGGGCGCCACCUGAC
rnacentral:vault_RNA from 10 species